rnacentral:misc_RNA from 1 species
CUCAACAUUUUCGUCAGUUUUGACGGGUUUGAUGUCAGCGCCGCUCCUGCGUGCAUUAUAUUCAAUUUAUAAUUAAAAUGUGAGAUAUGAUAGUGUUGUUCUCCGGCAUUCUGUAAUGGAUAUCUGGAAUAAAUGAGUAAUUCUUCUUAUGUUAAUAAGUUCUCAAUUUUUAAUAAAAACUGUUAAGCCGGUGCACUAAACAUGAGCUCUACAUGACAUGAAUUUCUUCUCAAAUUGGAUAUUCGUGAUGUUUUUAAGAUUGAAAAUGGAAGAGCUUCAUCUCCUGUGUUUCACUUCUGUCGAACUACAAAACAAGACCACCUGAGGAAUUGCCGGCACUCGGCUGAUAUCGGUUGCCUUUUGAAAUUACCCAGCAGUAGAAGUUCACAUGCAAGUUUGUCGUCUGUGCUAGAAGACAGUUCCACUUUAAGACGUGUCCAACCUCCAAAGACUCUCAGCUUGUCUGGUAAAUCAUUCCGCGACCAACAGACUCUCAGAUUGUAU